AAGCAAUGAGUUUUGAUUUUCAUCAGACUCUGAUUUGAUUCCCAGCAACUUGAGUGAGAACAAGACCAGGCCUGUUACUCUCCUAGUUCUGUACUCAUCUCUGUCUCAGUUUUCAUAUGCCAUCAGAUUUGUCAUUUUGUAUUUCAGGCCCAGAAAAUAAUGCAUGCUUGCUGUUAACAGUGAGAGCUGUGGCCGUCAUCUUGUGGAAUGAGGAGCUUGGAACACAAGUCAGAUUCAAGAACUUUUUGGCAUUUUGUUAGCAAGCCUUUCUUCGUUUAUCUGCAUGUUUGCUGCUCUGAUGAAAUAGGACUUCCCAAGGGAGGAUUAAUGGUAAAUUAUAAUGUAUCAAUCCCAUCUGUGGGGCUGGCUGUUUUGCAUUCCUUAGAUUAACCUUCUUGGUUUAUAUUGAAUUUAAAAUAUCAUCAUUUCAAUACCAAAAUUAUUUCCUUCUCUCUUAUAUACCAAAUUCCUCUUCUUUGCUCCCUAUCCAUGUACUAAAUUAGUAGCAGGCUGCUUGGCUACUGCUAACAGGUAUUACCAACCGGUUAACUGGUUCAGAGGGGCAUCGGAACAAAGAAUGUGCCAGGAACUAAUGGUACAAUGGCAUUUUGUUGCAGUGACUUACAAUAUGAUUAACCCCAGCAGAAGGAAAGAACACUUCAGGAACGAUGAUCUGUAAAGGUGCAUAUAAAAGUCUGGAACAUUAAUGCAGCAAUUCUUUAUCCAGUUGAAUCUCUUGUGUCAAAGGAGUAAGAAAAGAUGCGCUUUGGCAGGACAACAUACAGUUUUUCCUCUCUCUGUUAUAUAGAGAUAAAAAUCUGUAUACAUAGUAUCCUA